rnacentral:rRNA from 1 species
UAAUUGAAGAGUUUGAUCAUGGCUCAGAUUGAACGCUGGCGGCAGGCUUAACACAUGCAAGUCGAACGGUAACAGGAGAAAGCUUGCUUUCUUGCUGACGAGUGGCGGACGGGUGAGUAAUGCUUGGGAAUCUGCCUUGUGGAGGGGGAUAACUACGGGAAACUGUAGCUAAUACCGCGUAAUAUCGAAAGAUUAAAGUAUGGGAUCUUCGGACCAUAUACCACGAGAUGAGCCCAAGUGAGAUUAGGUAGUUGGUGAGGUAAAGGCUCACCAAGCUGACGAUCUCUAGCUGGUUUGAGAGGAUGACCAGCCACACUGGAACUGAGACACGGUCCAGACUCCUACGGGAGGCAGCAGUGGGGAAUAUUGCACAAUGGGGGAAACCCUGAUGCAGCCAUGCCGCGUGAAUGAAGAAGGCUUUCGGGUUGUAAAGUUCUUUCAGCGAUGAGGAAGGGUUUGUAUCUAAUAGGUGCAAACAUUGACGUUAGUCGCAGAAGAAGCACCGGCUAACUCCGUGCCAGCAGCCGCGGUAAUACGGAGGGUGCGAGCGUUAAUCGGAAUAACUGGGCGUAAAGGGCACGCAGGCGGUUGUCUAAGUCAGAUGUGAAAGCCCCGAGCUUAACUUGGGAAUUGCAUUUGAGACUGGGCGACUAGAGUCCUCUAGGGAGGGGUAGAAUUCCACGUGUAGCGGUGAAAUGCGUAGAGAUGUGGAGGAAUACCGAAGGCGAAGGCAGCCCCUUGGAGAGAGACUGACGCUGAGGUGCGAAAGCGUGGGUAGCAAACAGGAUUAGAUACCCUGGUAGUCCACGCUGUAAACGAUGUCAAUUUGGGGGUUGG